UGGGGAAUAUUGCACAAUGGGGGAAACCCUGAUGCAGCAACGCCGCGUGAGUGAUGACGGCCUUCGGGUUGUAAAGCUCUGUCUUCAGGGACGAUAAUGACGGUACCUGAGGAGGAAGCCACGGCUAACUACGUGCCAGCAGCCGCGGUAAUACGUAGGUGGCAAGCGUUGUCCGGAUUUACUGGGCGUAAAGGGAGCGUAGGCGGACUUUUAAGUGAGAUGUGAAAUACCCGGGCUCAACCUGGGUGCUGCAUUUCAAACUGGAAGUCUAGAGUGCAGGAGAGGAGAGUGGAAUUCCUAGUGUAGCGGUGAAAUGCGUAGAGAUUAGGAAGAACACCGGUGACGAAGGCGACUCUCUGGACUGUAACUGACGCUGAGGCUCGAAAGCGUGGGGA
rnacentral:rRNA from 1 species